CCUACGGGCGGCAGCAGUGGGGGAUAUUGCACAAUGGGGGGAACCCUGAUGCAGCGACGCCGCGUGGGUGAAGAAGCGCCUCGGCGCGUAAAGCCCUGUCAGCAGGGAAGAAAAUGACGGUACCUGAAGAAGAAGCCCCGGCUAACUACGUACCAGCAGCCGCGGUAAUACGUAGGGGGCAAGCGUUAUCCAGAUUUACUGGGUGGAAAGGGGGCGCAGACGGCGCUGCAAGCCAGGAGUGAAAGCCCGGGGCCCCACCCCGGGACUGCUCUUGGAACUGCGUGGCUGGAGUGCAGGAGGGGCAGGCGGAAUGCCUGGUGUAGCGGUGAAAUGCGUAGAUAUCAGGAGGAACACCGGUGGCGAAGGCGGCCUGCUGGACUGCAACUGACGUUGAGGCCCGAAAGCGUGGGGAGCAAACAGGAUUAGAUACCCCUGUAGUC
rnacentral:rRNA from 1 species